GGAAUAUUGGGCAAUGGACGCAAGUCUGACCCAGCCACGCCGCGUGAAGGAUGACGGCCCUAUGGGUUGUAAACUUCUUUUGUAUGGGAAGAAACCCCUCUACGUGUAGAGGGCUGACGGUACCAUAAGAAUAAGCAUCGGCUAACUCCGUGCCAGCAGCCGCGGUAAUACGGAGGAUGCAAGCGUUGUCCGGAUUCAUUGGGUUUAAAGGGUGCGUAGGCGGAGAAUUAAGUCAGUGGUGAAAGCUUGC
rnacentral:rRNA from 1 species